GGCGACGUGGCCAAGUGGCAAGGCAGGGGUCUGCAAAACCCCAACCGGCGGUUCGAAUCCGCCCGUCGCCUCCA
rnacentral:tRNA from 1 species